rnacentral:rRNA from 1 species
CCCUUAGAUGUUCUGGGCCGCACGCGCGCCACACUGACGGAGACAGCGAGCAUGUCCUUCGCCGAGAGGUGUGGGGAAUCUUGUGAGUCUCCGUCGUGCUGGGGAUAGAUGGUUGCAAUUGUCGAUCUUGAACGAGGAAUUCCUAGUAAGCGCGAGUCAUCAGCUCGCGCUGAUUACGUCCCUGCCCUUUGUACACACCGCCCGUCGCUACUACCGAUUGGAUGGUUUAGCGAGAGCCUUGGAUUGGAGCCCAGGUGGUCGGCAACGGCCGCUCGGGAUUCCGAGAAAUUGUUCCAGCUGACUCAUCUAGAGGAAGUAAAAGUCGUAACA